GCUGAAAAGCCGAGAAGUGAUUCUUUCUCCUUUGAAACCCUAAAUGUAUUGAAUCAAACUAUCCACUGAACCUUGUCCUUGUUAUGAAUUAAAUUAUCAGUCUUCAUUUCUGCACAUCUCACAAAAUCCAAUGGCAAGGAAAUUCUGAGAGAGACAGACUUUGCUUCCAGUUGGCAUUUGGUCCUGAAGUGCUGGCAACCUUUAUUUGCCUGGGAAAAUAAUUCUACUUAAUUUUCAAGGCCCCAUUUCAAGGGUCACCUCACUUGCAAAACUUUUCCUGAGCACCAUUCACUCAGGUUAAGUCCACCCGCUGACCCUUACCAUUACUGUCCUCAUGUGAAGCAUGGCGGCACUGUGGAUAACCAAGUAGCUGUAGCUCUGGAUUCCCAAAAGAAUAGUCUCUGGAAAGUAGGUACAGCACCUCCAAUGCAUGGCCCAUUCUGAGUACCAAAUUAAUAUUUUGGGAAUCCAUAAAGAACAGCUGGAGUCUGUCGCCUCAAAACAAGCAUAAUUUUAGAUUUGGAGCAGAUACUGUACAGCUUCAGACUGCCUUCAAAGGGAACAGUGCUCCUCAGAAGCCUUUCAGUUCAAGGCAGUCUAAAGCAAGACCUGAAGAAUCCAACUGAUAAAAGCAGAAGCCAGGAUUUAUACCUAGUCUGUGUAUCAACAGCACCCUCUGAAGGCUCUUCCUACGUGAUCUGCAGGGACAAGUCUAUCCAUGUCCGCUGAGCACUCAUAAACAGUGCAAGGAAGGUCCUCUUCUCUCCCUCUCCCCAUCUCCCUCCUUUCUUAUCCCUUUCUUCUUCCCUCCUUCCCCCCCUUUUUUCCUUUUUCAUGGUAAAAUAUGAUAGGUUCUUCUUUGUGGCUAUUCUAUCUUUUGGCAUUUCCAUUACUUCUUCUGUGGUCAUAGUGAUUAUGAGUAAAGUCUCCAGGAGGUAAAGGGCUUGGUUCAAGGGUCAACUAAGAGACUCUAACUACUGCUUCAUUCUGUUGUGGUUAUAGAACAUAAAAGGAUGGAAUGGCAGUGGCAGAGUUAAGCGAGCCCUUGGUUAAGUCUGCAUUAAUUGAUUGCCGUCCUCCUUAAUCCAUCCAGG
rnacentral:lncRNA from 1 species